rnacentral:rRNA from 1 species
UGGGGAAUUUUGGACAAUGGGCGAAAGCCUGAUCCAGCAAUGCCGCGUGUGUGAAGAAGGCCUUCGGGUUGUAAAGCACUUUUGUCCGGAAAGAAAUCCUUGGCUCUAAUACAGUCGGGGGAUGACGGUACCGGAAGAAUAAGCACCGGCUAACUACGUGCCAGCAGCCGCGGUAAUACGUAGGGUGCAAGCGUUAAUCGGAAUUACUGGGCGUAAAGCGUGCGCAGGCGGUUUGCUAAGACCGAUGUGAAAUCCCCGGGCUCAACCUGGGAACUGCAUUGGUGACUGGCAGGCUAGAGUAUGGCAGAGGGGGGUAGAAUUCCACGUGUAGCAGUGAAAUGCGUAGAGAUGUGGAGGAAUACCGAUGGCGAAGGCAGCCCCCCUGGGCCAAAUACUGACGCUCAUGCACGAAAGCGUGGGGAGCAAACAGGAUUAGAUACCCUGGUAGUCCACGCCCUAAACGAUGUCAACUAGUUGUUGGGGAUUCAUUUCCUAGUAACGUAGCUAACGCGUGAAGUUGACCGCCUGGGGAGUACGGUCGCAAGAUUAAAACUCAAAGGAAUUGACGGGGUCAUAGCUGUUUCCU